AUCUAUUGCUCACUUCCUCUAUUCUCUGUUCCCUGGGGCGGCUCUUCCAAAGGAAGCAAAGUUGCUUCAGGCCACUUCUGUUGUUCUCAGACAAAUUAGCCUAUGUAGGCAUCCAUUUCCUCAUUUGUGAAAUAAGAAAAACCCACUUCUUUGGAUUGUUGUGGGGGAUAUAUUUUAUACAGAAGUACAUUGUGUGUGUGUGCAAGCCUAGGACAAAACAUUUCUGAAUAAAUUCAGAUACCUUCCCCACACCUCACCCUAUUAAAAGCAGAACGAACUGGAGGAAGGGCAUAUUUCUUCCCUGUUCAGAACUUUUACUGGCACUCCACGCCCUAUGAGAUUAAGAACAAACCCUGCCUUGUAUUCAAAACCUUUACCAUAAAACUCCACUUCUCACUCCUCAUGGAACAUGAUCUGCAUUUGCUCACCUGUAUACUCUUCUCCUGUCCCUUUCUCUGCUUGUACUGGUCUCUCUCAAUUUUGCCAAAAUGUUAUCCAUCACUUGAGUCUCAAAAAGUGUGGAAAUUCUACACAAAUCAAAUUUCGGAAAUAUCACCUGGAGAUAUUUAUUGACUGUAUUUAAGUGAUCUUCAUCAAGGAGACUUAGACCCUUCGCAGUCCACAAGCUUAUCAAUUCUCAGAGCUUCAAGUUCAGGUAGAGCUUGGGUCCUGAUCUCUCUGAUAACUUCGACUUGUCUAUACCCUGGGGUUAGUCAUUCAUAAUAAUGCAUCAGUAGUAGUUCACCACCUGUCACAAAUGUACCACACCAAUGUAAGAAGAUAAUAACCAGGCAGGUAUAUUUCUCACCAUCCACUCUUAAACUUGGUACUCUGCCUACCUCCAUUCUUUUUAUGGAUCCUAUUGAAUAAUUUGUUAUUUCUUUUACAUUUGAAAAGAUACAAUACAGAAAAAAUUCAUUCUUCAGCAAACACUUGUUGAAUACCAUUUACUAAUUACAUAAGUUUUACUAUAAUAAUACUAAAGUACUGGAACAUAGUGCUUUAAUACAUUUCUGAUGAGAUCUGAAAGUUAGAUUCAUUUGUAAUAGAUGGUAUUUUGGCUCAAAAUAUCCAUUGCCUCUUCCAUAGGGCCCCAGCCUAUGGGAGGAAGACAUACCUGUGCUCAGAGCAGGCUUGGUCAUGCGACUUGCUUUGAUCAUUUGAUCAUUGGAAUAGGACUGGAGCAGACCCACUUUUUUUUUUUUCCUUUUUAGGGCUGCACCCACAGCAUACGGAGGUUCUCAGGCUAGUGGUCAAAUUGGAGCUGCAGGCUGCCCGCCUACGCCACAGCCAUAGCAAUGCGGGAUCUGAGCUGCUUCUGCGACCUACACCGCAGUUCACAGCAACAUCAGAUCCUUAACCCACUGAGCGAGGCUAGGGAUCGAACCCACAACCUCAUGGUUCCUAGUCAGAUUCGUUUCCGCUGUGCCACGAUGGGAAUGCCUGUCCUAUUUCUGAAAGAGCUUUAAGAGUCAUUCUCUGGUCGGUCACCACCCCCUCUUUUUCAUUCCGACAUGAAACUGCCAUGUUUUAGAUAGGGCUGCAUUUUCAUCCUUGGUUCUGACAUGACAAAGACAUGAAACUGAGUCAAAUCUGACCCCAGUAUAGACAUGAGAAAUAAACCUUUGUUGUGAGCCA
rnacentral:lncRNA from 1 species